CUCUUCUCAGGCACGUGCUGGAUCAGGACGCAGAUGCCCGCGGUGAUUCCCACGCGGCGCUGCAGGUCGCCGGUGUAGAGCUUGUUGCUGAAGGGCACCAGGUCGCCGAGGGAGUUGACGGACUUCUGGCUGAGCCGGAGGAAAAAGGAGCGAACUUUACUUGAUUACUUACUGGAUUUGGGGGGCUCAGGCGGAGAUGGCUUGGGCUUGUUGAAGAAGAAGGCCUUGGUGGUGAAAUUCCUUGCAGCCGAGAUGGCGGGACGGUCAGCCGCGAGCCUCAGUUUCCGGUACAACGGAAGCGAUCCCGAAAGGUUCAAACUUGAAAGCCCCUUGCUCUUAUUGGCCAGACAUGGCGUUCGCUGUUCUGGGUUGUUCAGAGAGGUGACGGCUCUGAGAGAGGUAGCAGACGCCAUUGAUGGACGGGGUUAGGACCUUGAAGCUUUGAUCGGAGAGUGGAAAGUUGCAGAAAGGAGAAGAAAAAGCAGGACAGAUCAUGGGCUCGAUCGGAAUCGGAACACGUGGGAAAUUGUCGGAAGCAGAGUCGAAGACGGAGCAUUGACCGGAAGAAGAAUCUUCUCAGCGGACCAGACCGGUCGGUGAUGGGUUAGCGAAUAGCGAUCGCAUCCUUGGACAGUGUUUAAUCGCGCAGCUGAGACCGUAACCAGAUGGCCGGCUCCGACCAAAAACUUUUCAGGAAAAACUACUCUUCCGAUUUUUGGCGGUAAGUGUCAGGAUCAAAUACUCCUUGUCAUUCCAUAACCGUUAACAAUCCGAAAAGAAAUUUUUCGUGAAGCUUCAUCGGGCAAAUUUUUGUCAAAGAAUUGCCGCGUUAGAAUGAUUUAACACCGCGUUAUAUUUAUUAUAUAAGUGGACCUGUGAGUCAUUGCUGUCA